GUAGGGAAUAUUGGGCAAUGGUCGGAAGACUGACCCAGCCAUGCCGCGUGCAGGAAGACGGCCCUCUGGGUUGUAAUCUGCUUUUAUCUGGGAAGAAAAAGGCCAUGCGUGGCAAAUUGCCGGUACCAGAUGAAUAAGCACCGGCUAACUCCGUGCCAGCAGCCGCGGUAAUACGGAGGGUGCGAGCGUUGUCCGGAUUUAUUGGGUUUAAAGGGUGCGUAGGCGGCUGAUUAAGUCAGCGGUGAAAGACUUCGGCUUAACCGGAGCAGUGCCGUUGAUACUGGUUGGCUUGAGUGUCGGAGGGGUACAUGGAAUUGAUGGUGUAGCGGUGAAAUGCAUAGAUACCAUCAGGAACACCGAUAGCGAAGGCAUUGUACUGGCCGACAACUGACGCUGAUGCACGAAAGUGUGGGGAUCGAACAGGAUUAGAAACCCCGGUAGUCC
rnacentral:rRNA from 1 species